GUAAGGAAUAUUGGUCAAUGGAGGCAACUCUGAACCAGCCAUGCCGCGUGCAGGAAGACGGCCCUCUGGGUUGUAAACUGCUUUUAUCUAGGAAUAAACCUACUUACGUGUAAGUAGCUGAAUGUACUAGAAGAAUAAGGAUCGGCUAACUCCGUGCCAGCAGCCGCGGUAAUACGGAGGAUCCAAGCGUUAUCCGGAUUUAUUGGGUUUAAAGGGUGCGUAGGCGGCCUAUUAAGUCAGGGGUGAAAGACGGUAGCUCAACUAUCGCAGUGCCCUUGAUACUGAUGGGCUUGAAUGAACUAGAGGUAGGCGGAAUGUGACAAGUAGCGGUGAAAUGUGUAGAUAUGGCACAGAACACCGAUUGCGAAGGCAGCUUACUAUGGUUUUAUUGACGCUGAGGCACGAAAGCGUGGGGAUCAAACAGGAUUAGAUACCCUGGUAGUCC
rnacentral:rRNA from 1 species